UACGUAGGGUGCAAGCGUUAAUCGGAAUUACUGGGCGUAAAGCGUGCGUAGGCGGCGUUUCAAGACAGAUGUGAAAUCCCCGGGCUCAACCUGGGAACUGCAUUUGUGACUGCAUCGCUGGAGUGCGGCAGAGGGGGAUGGAAUUCCGCGUGUAGCAGUGAAAUGCGUAGAUAUGCGGAGGAACACCGAUGGCGGAGGCAAUCCCCUGGGCCUGCACUGACGCUCAUGCACGAAAGCGUGGGGAGCAAACAGG
rnacentral:rRNA from 1 species